AUUGAACGCUGGCGGCAUGCCUUACACAUGCAAGUCGAACGGUAACAGGUUAAGCUGACGAGUGGCGAACGGGUGAGUAAUGUAUCGGGACGUGCCCAGUCGUGGGGGAUAACUGCUCGAAAGAGCAGCUAAUACCGCAUACGACCUGAGGGUGAAAGCGGGGGAUCGCAGGACCUCGCGCGAUUGGAGCGGCCGAUAUCAGAUUAGGUAGUUGGUGGGGUAAAGGCCUACCAAGCCUACGAUCUGUAGCUGGUCUGAGAGGACGACCAGCCACACUGGGACUGAGACACGGCCCAGACUCCUACGGGAGGCAGCAGUGGGGAAUUUUGGACAAUGGACGCAAGUCUGAUCCAGCCAUGCCGCGUGCGGGAAGAAGGCCUUCGGGUUGUAAACCGCUUUUGUCAGGGAAGAAAAGGUUCUGGUUAAUACCUGGGACUCAUGACGGUACCUGAAGAAUAAGCACCGGCUAACUACGUGCCAGCCGCCGCGGUAACAC
rnacentral:rRNA from 1 species